ACUUUGGAACAGGAUGGGAGCCUUUAUUCUGUCUGUGAUGGGGGCACAGAACUGGCCUGUCCCCACGUCGCUCUCUGUUCCUUCUAUGCCCAGACAAGAGGGCUAGGUCUGGCCAUGCAGAGCCCUGGCCUCUGGUGAAGGAAGGCAUUCACGGGUGGAGGUUCUCUGGGAGGAGGAGCAGGCUAGGGAGGCUGGCUGAGCCCCCAGCCCACUGUGACCGGGACACGCCUUCUCCCCAUUGGGAGCCUGUCUCUUCAUGGGUACAAUAAAUAGGAGAAUCCCCACUUCUGUGACUCCUCCUGGGAUCUGACUCUGCCCGUCAAAACAAGAGAAGUGCUGGGGAGUCCAAGCAGGCAGUGUGGGAAGGACAUGUACUGGAUCAGAAUCCUGUCUCCUUGUCACUUGAGGAGCUGGUGGCUGUCUCAGGGCAAAGGAGGAGCCACUCAGACCUGAGCCUGGAUGGCUCCAGUGCUAUGCCAGGAGUGCGUAGCACUCUGGGAACACAGUCAAGAGACCUGGAUGGAGCUCCAGCUAUACCAUCAAUAUGCCGUGUGACCCUGCAAAGUGCCUGAGGCUAGUGAGUGCCCGACAUGUUUGAGGAGAGCGGAACACGCAUUCCCCUGCCUGGAGGCUCAGCAUUCCUGGAAACUCCCCCGACCCUGAUAUCUGUGAUCUGUCCUUCAAGCCUGGGGUUCCAGGAUAGCAGGGCACCUCUAAUUCAGGGGGGAAUACUUUGUUGUCUCCAGCUUUGGGGGAAAUUUUCCUGGGGUCUCAUCCGAGGAUUACAGGGCUGGUGCCAUGAACAGAGCUAGAAAUAAGGAGUGAAGGGACCCUUCAGCGUUGCAGUAGGAACCUCUAGGCCAUCAGUAAUUCUCUGCUGUACAAAUGGGCCCCUCGAAGAAUACGGGAGGUGGUGGUGGUGAUGGUGGUGGUCGUGGUGUGUUUCCUUCCCUCCCAAGGAUGCAUCCACCCUCCUCUAACUGCCUCCUUUCCUCUCUCUUAGGAGAGCAGGUCCUCUCCGCUGCAGGGGUUCUGACUUGGCUUCGGCUUGGUGGAGAAUUUUAAAAAGUUUGUUUUCAAGUUUGCUGGGAGAUGGAGGAGGUGGAGAGGGGUUACAUGGGGGGAAGGGGAGCUGGUGGGGUCACGGCAGGGAGCGAGCCUUCUCCUGGGUCUGGCUGAAUCACAGAAGAUGCAGUUCAGGGCUCAGAGAUAAAACCUGGCAACUCUUACGGAAAUCUGGAAAGCAACAGCGGGUCGGGUCGCAGCUCCACCUUCCAGCUGCAUUUGCUGAGCAAACCAGCAGUGGCCCUUGCAAGCUAGCUGUGAGUACAGAGGUAACUAGAGGGGCCAAUAGCAGGCGCUGUCACCCACCCCUGGCCCAGAGACUCCCUGGUCAAUCUGUUCCCUUUUGGCUCAGCCGAAGCUACUCCUCCCAGAGGGAGGAAGAAGAGGAGAAAGCUUGGUGCAAAUGCUCAGCCUUCCAAAUGCACCCACAGGGCCCGAGUUGGGCAAGUUUCAACAGGUUUGGGGAGCACUGUCUUGUCAGAUGCUUGCUGAGUUGCUCAAUUGCUAAUCCAGGGCUGAGGGAAGAAGUCAAACCAUAGCAGACAGCUGGGUUGUGGCUGCUGCCUGAGCAAACCCCGAGGGCAGAGCCUGGUGAGGGGGGCUUGGUGGAGGGGUGAAAAACGGCUCAGCCUGGCUCAGAGCGUCUGCCCUGGCCAAGGAGGAGAGGCAGGGCUGCAGAUCUGCUGGGUGACAGCCAUCUUCCUGAUUCCCACUGUGGCACAUUUUAGCAUCACCUGAGCCCUGGGGCAGUGGAAGGAAGUCUCCCCUCUACUUGAAGUCUUUGAAGAUGGCCACUCUGACAUCUAGAGGUGAACAAGCCCCUCUUUUAUUCAUCCACUGGGUGCUCAGCACCCACUGUGUGGCAGGCCUGUGCCAGGCACUAGGGGGUGCUCAGAAGCCCUCGUGCCCUAGCUUCCACCUCCCAAAGCAGCAGAACCACCCUGCUGGGCUCUUACAUAUAACAUGACAUCGUUCUAUCGGUACGGGAUGAAAGCCGGAGACUCGGACAUGUGAGAGCAAGUCAAGUUCAAGUCCUGCCUCCUUGGAGAAGUCACUGCCCCUCUGGGCCUCUGAAGUGGGGCUGAAAGCCAUACCCACUCCUUCCUGGAAGUCGAGGGGGAGGGAGGAUGUGUGGCUCAAAGAGAAUAGUGGGUGUGAAAGUGGUUUGUAAGCCAUUCAUUCUCAACAUAAGGAUGUGCUUUUGCUCCCUACGGCACAUUUGGCAAUGUCAGCAGACAAUUUUGGUUGUCACCAGGUGGGAGUAUGUGUGCUGCUGGCAUCUCAUGGGUAGAGGCCCAAGGUGCCCCUAAACAUCUUAUAGACUCUUAACAAAUAAUUAGCUGGCCCUAAAUAUUAAUGGUACCAAGGUUGGGAGAAAUUCUGGUACAAAUUGUGAAGUGCUAUGGAUGUAUUCGUGAUGGUAAUUCACUGCUCAGAGCCACUGGGGGAGCUCCCAGGAUAGAGAUUUUUACUAUUUAGAGAGGAGGGAGGGACACAUCUUCACUUGUGGGGCUGCCCCAAGUGCUGAGGCUCAGUGCCUGAAGCUAAAGGAGUUAACCCAGCCCCUCUGGGCAAGCAGAUGCGCAGGCGCUCGGCCUGAAGAUGCAUCCUUGUGGGACUCAGAGCCAGUAAGGUGGCUUCCUUCACUUCCCCGAUUGGCACUGAAGGGUAUUCCCAGUGACAACCCCCCUGGCCAGCAGAGUUUGCCUGUGUGCCAGGCUGGGCGUCCCUGGCUGUGUGCAGGAUCUGAGGGCCCUGGCUGAAGAGCAGAGGAGUGGUGGCCUACACUCUUCCCUGUGUAAGGUCACAGGAUCUGGACAGAACAGUAGGGGAUAAACAAGUUAGGGAGCAGCCUAAAGGCCCAUUCUAUCAUCCCUAUAGACAGGGACAACUCUGUGGCUCACUGGUAAGAGCCUUCAGUUUCCAGAAGCUUCCAUGGCUACCAUUUCUAUCAGCGUGCCUGGUACUGUGCCCAGCAUGACACAUGCACUUUCUUCCCAACCACCCUUGUGUACCAUUUGUCCCAAUGGGUACCAUUUUACAGAUGAGGCCACAGAAGCUCUGAGAGGUUGAAUCACCUGUCCAAGGUCCCUCCACUGCAGUGGUAGAGCUGGGAUGGGACUCUAGGCUAUCUCUUCCAGGGACCCAGCUCUCUGUCACUCCACUGGCCUGUCUUACAGUGCUGCAGGGACUCCCUCCUCCUAUUGGCUAGGAGUGCUGAUCAGGGUACGGCUGCUUUCCCCCAGAAACCCGCAAUAAUGAAACCUGCGCUUGUCUAUUCCCUUACUGAUCCCAGUACUUCCAUUUGGGGUUCAGAAAAAACUGCUAUGGAUUGUGGCCCAGAGGGAGAAAGAGGCCCAGCCAAGGCUGCCCAGCAUGUGGCAUGGAGCUGGGACUGCAACCCAGGUCUCCUGGGUGUAGCCGCAGUGUCUGUCUGUGUAGAGGAGCCAUUCAGAAACAUUUCUGAGCCAUGUCUAUGCCAGGGCAGUCCUUUGAGGGCAGAGCCCACACCUUCCUUCCACCAAGGGACUGAGCAGCCCUCUUGCCAUUUGGGAGCUGCCACAAGCUGUCAACUCAUUUCUGGUGCCAGACAUGAGCCUAAUCAACAGAUUCCAGCUUCUCUGGGCUUGCCCAGGCCUCAGGCUGCAGAGCCCUCCCAGCUCCAGGCUCUGUCCUACCCAACAGCUGCACAUAGCAGGACACCUGGCCUCUCUGCCAGGACACCCGCCCUCCUGAGACAAUAGACCGCACCAGCUCUGCAACCGGCCAGCCUAUCAACCCUGGAUGGAAGCCUGUCUCCAGAUACUGGGAGGGGACAGGACACUCAGGCCUUGUGCCUCAGUGCUAGCCGUCCUCUUGGGGCCAGACCUCUAGCUUGACUCUGAAAAGACACUGCACUAUCACCAUGCCUGGAGGGAUAGCUGCCUGCCUGAGGCUGUUCCUUCUAGAGGCAGCUUUGGGUCAGACACCUUUGCCACUUACUAGCUAGGUGGCUUUGGGCGACUGCUACCUCCAUGACCCCCAAUCUUCUCAUUUUAAAUGUAGCCAGGAUUUAGAUAGGACCGUGGGGGUGAUUAUAAUUAUUAUGUCAUUCUGUAGCCUCCAGGGCCAGUUCCCUCUGUGAUUGCUGCUCAUGCUCAACUCUGUCCUCUGAGAGCUAUGUAGUGUGCACACCACCACCCAUUCAUGAUUUUGCUUUUAGCCUGUCGUUUCAGCUAGACCCUGAGCUCCUGUAAGGCAUGCUGUGACACCUAUUUCCCCCAGGGCUGUUCCAAGCCCUGACUGGGGAUGGAGGAAGAUAAAUACAUAGCAGUAACCCUGGUUUUGGGGGUGGGGGGCUGUGCCUGGGGUGUAUUCUCCUUCACAGCCCUUCCGGUUGUGUGGGGUCCUGGGAGGCCCCUUGCUCUUUUUGCCCAGGGCUCAGCAGAGACCCUUGGCUCAAAGCCUGGGUGGAGCAGGAGUGAGCUGGGUCAUCCAGAGCCCCGCUUCGUGGCAACCUGAACCAUCACAGUUGCAGAGAACAGGUUUGCCAACCUCUUCUCCCUCCAGGCUGCCCCUCCUCAUCACCCCCCAUGGCGUAGGCUCAGGAACUGAGCUGCUGGAAUUCCCCAUGGGUUACCUCUUUUGGGGCAGCCUCAGGAAGGUGUAGGACGUCCCUGCCUGGAAGUCAGAACACCUGGGUUUGGUUCUCAACUCUGAGUUUGGCAGGUAGCUUUUCCUCCCUGGGCCUCAGUUUCCUCAUCUAUAAAAGAAUCGAAAGAGGCCCCAGGGACUCUAGUGGAAGGAGCCAGAUGUCCUGAAGCCCUGUCUAUUGUGAGAUGUUCCUGAAGACCUGAGUUAUGUGUUCAUAUUGUCACUUUUCUCUCCUUACAGCCGUCAGUGUGGGGCAGGAAGACCACCUCCCGGUUCUUCCUGUUGCUCAGAUCUGUUCUGGAGACCCCAGCUCUGAGCCCAUGUAUUUAAGAGCCAGCUCUAGAGACUCCAGGCUCCCCCAAGUCCAAACACAGCUCUGUGAUCCAGGCCCUGCUUAGGGGCAGUCUGCAGGGGGGCAGAAGGAGGAGGUGGUGGUGCCCUGGUUUCUGUACACACUGCCACUGCUCCUGAAGUGUUAAUCAAAUUAAGCCUCCAAGAAAAACAAAAGCUCCACAGCCACUUUGGGAUGCCUUGGAGUCACUCGCUCUCUGAACAGCUGGGAGAAUUCCACAUCACCUCCAUCCCCCAAGCCCUGGGUGGCUCUGACCCCAACGAACACACUCCUUCCAGCCUGCAGGGCCCCGGCCGGCCACAAUGACCUCAUAGCAACAGCCAUUGGACACUGGGGGCAAUUUCAUGGGAGAUAUUUGUUCUUCGGUCUUGAUGCAGAGAGAAUUUUUUCCUCUCCCGCGGUCUCCAUGGAAACCCCGGCUACACUGUCGGCUAUCCCCCUUCCCACCUCAUGCUUUUCAGAUCAAUAUUGGGGCUUGUCUCCCCACUGUCGGCCCACAGCUGCUAGGGGCAGAGCUCUGGGCAGGAGGAGCUAGGUCCAGGGUUAAGCCUGGGGCAUGAGGAAGUGUCACUGGGGAGGGAUGGAGUCCCAGUCCUCUUCCUGCCUAUUACCCCAGUGCACUGCAGCUCAUCCCUUUACCUCCCCUUCCCUCUGCAAGCUUCUGCCCCUUCUCAGGGAGCCUCCUGAGCGCAGACCCAGUCAAAGUGAGACAGACAGGUCCCCGGUGGUUACCACCCUGUUCUUCCUCUGGUGAGAGCCACGGAGGUGAGUGGCGGCUGUUGUCUUCUUUGAAGGCUGUUAGUAGUUUCUUCCUGCCCCAGGAACACCAACGUCAGGAUAGAGCCUACCUCGGGCUCUCAGAGGCUCAGUGUCCAGGUCCCUUCCCUCUUUCCGUGCCUGGCUCCCGCCCCCCAAGCAGAAGCAGGUCCCUGCACGCCUCCAACCCAGCCCGCAGAGCGGCGCAGCUCAGCGCUCGGAGCUCUCCCAGACUUCUAGGGAUUAACCUGCUAUUAUGUCCCAGAGCCCUUCCCCAUAAUGUGCUUCUCUGAGAUUUGUCACUCCUGUGGGCUGCGCCCGGUGCCCGCACUCCGCUUGGGCCACUGCCCUGCACUCACGCUUCUUGCGCCCUCGGGCGCCCAGGGCCGCCUGUGGGUGCGGACACCUCGGCCAUCCCUGCUGCUCUGGGAGCAGGGGCCUGGGGUGUCCAGAGGAAGGUCGGGUAGUGGCGGCGGCGACGGCGGCAGCAGCGCGAGCGAGCAGCCUCCGGUCCCGC